ACUUACAUGUACUUGAAUGAACUAAGGGUGCCUUUGUUUGCAAGGAUUUGAUUUUCCAGAAAAUAUUUUUCUAAUUUUACGGUGUUUGGUUGCUUGAAAAUAAAUUAUAUGGGUAAAAGAUUUUCCAAAACAAGGUAAAUUAUGUGAGUUUUUUUAGGGAAAAUGUGUUACAGAUUUUUAAUCGGUAAGACAUUUUCUGAAAAAUCUUCCUCCACUCUCACCAUCCGUUCUUCAUCCUUUCUGUAAGAUUUUCUAAAAAACGGUUGGCUCAUCCAGGAGGACCUGUUUAAGUACUCUUUUAUUCUCCCUUCUUCAUCUGUUCUGUAAGAUUGGCUGUCAAUAACGCUUAAAGCUACCUUCUUUCAAAGCACUUAUCGGAGACAAACAUGCGACAUCACAACGAGGAGAUAUGUGACAUUGCGACAACGUAACGAGCAAGGGACGACGUCACAACAAGGGUCGUCGGGACUAAGUGACAAUCUCUUGAGGCAAGACCAGGGGCGAUGUGACGAAGAGAGUCGUGACAUCACGACGAUAUCUCCCCUAAUGUAGCCGUGUUUUAGACUCCAAGUAAGACUUUUUCUCCCAGUUGGACUCUAAUUACUUCAGGGUUAUUUUAGUAUGAUUAGACCUCUAAUUUUAGCCUAUAUAGGGCCUUUGCAACCCUGAUUCAGACAUGCCAAUCAAUAAAGGCUUUUCUUGAUGGCAACAUGUAACACCUUAUACCUGACCCGAUCGCUGAGUUCGGUUACCAAAUGUCACAAUUAACUUGAGUUACUUAACAAUAUUUUUAAUUAAAUUUAUUUACAAACUUAA